rnacentral:rRNA from 1 species
GACGAGCGCUGGCGGCGUGCUUAACACAUGCAAGUCGAACGGAAAGGCCCUGCUUUUGUGGGGUGCUCGAGUGGCGAACGGGUGAGUAACACGUGAGUAACCUGCCCUUGACUUUGGGAUAACUUCAGGAAACUGGGGCUAAUACCGGAUAGGAGCUCCUGCUGCAUGGUGGGGGUUGGAAAGUUUCGGCGGUUGGGGAUGGACUCGCGGCUUAUCAGCUUGUUGGUGGGGUAGUGGCUUACCAAGGCUUUGACGGGUAGCCGGCCUGAGAGGGUGACCGGCCACAUUGGGACUGAGAUACGGCCCAGACUCCUACGGGAGGCAGCAGUGGGGAAUAUUGCACAAUGGGCGGAAGCCGGAUGCAGCAACGCCGCGUGCGGGAUGACGGCCUUCGGGUUGUAAACCGCUUUCGCCUGUGACGAAGCGUGAGUGACGGUAAUGGGUAAAGAAGCACCGGCUAACUACGUG